rnacentral:rRNA from 1 species
GCCAGACUCCUACGGGAGGCAGCAGUGGGGGAUAUUGCACAAUGGGGGGAACCCUGAUGCAGCGACGCCGCGUGGGUGAAGGAGCGUUUCGGCGCGUAAAGCCCUAUCGGCAGGGAAGAAGGAGGACGGUACCUGACUAAGAAGCCCCGGCUAACUACGUGCCAGCAGCCGCGGUAAUACGUAGGGGGCAAGCGUUAUCCGGAUUUACUGGGUGUAAAGGGGGCGCAGACGGCAGCGCAAGCCAGGAGUGAAAGCCCGGGGCCCAACCCCGGGACUGCUCUUGGAACUGCGCGGCUGGAGUGCAGGAGGGGCAGGCGGAAUUCCUGGUGUAGCGGUGAAAUGCGUAGAUAUCAGGAGGAACACCGGUGGCGAAGGCGGCCUGCUGGACUGCGACUGACGUUGAGGCCCGAAAGCGUGGGGAGCAAACAGGAUUAGAUACCCCCGUAGA